rnacentral:rRNA from 1 species
AUACUGCAGUCGAGCGGACUAAUGGGAGCUUGCUCCCAGUUAGUUAGCGGCGGACGGGUGAGUAACACGUGGGCAACCUACCUGUAAGACUGGGAUAACUUCGGGAAACCGGAGCUAAUACCGGAUGACAUAAAGGAACUCCUGUUCCUUUAUUGAAAGAUGGCUUCGGCUAUCACUUACAGAUGGGCCCGCGGCGCAUUAGCUAGUUGGUGAGGUAACGGCUCACCAAGGCGACGAUGCGUAGCCGACCUGAGAGGGUGAUCGGCCACACUGGGACUGAAACACGGCCCAGACUCCUACGGGAGGCAGCAGUAGGGAAUCUUCCGCAAUGGACGAAAGUCUGACGGAACAACGCCGCGUGAGCGAUGAAGGCCUUCGGGUCGUAAAGCUCUGUUGUUAGGGAAGAAUAAGUGCUAGUUAAAUAAGCUGGCACCUUGACGGUACCUAACCAGAAAGCCACGGCUAACUACGUGCCAGCAGCCGCGGUAAUACGUAGGUGGCAAGCGUUGUCCGGAAUUAUUGGGCGUAAAGCGCGCGCAGGCGGUUUCUUAAGUCUGAUGUGAAAGCCCCCGGCUCAACCGGGGAGGGUCAUUGGAAACUGGGAAACUUGAGUGCAGAAGAGGAAAGUGGAAUUCCAAGUGUAGCGGUGAAAUGCGUAGAGAUUUGGAGGAACACCAGUGGCGAAGGCGACUUUCUGGUCUGUAACUGACGCUGAGGCGCGAAAGCGUGGGGAGCAAACAGGAUUAGAUACCCUGGUAGUCCACGCUGUAAACGAUGAGUGCUAAGUGUUAGAGGGUUUCCGCCCU